rnacentral:rRNA from 1 species
ACGCUGGCGGCGUGCUUAACAUAUGGCAAGUCGAACGGUAAGGCCCUUCGGGGUACGCGAGUGGCGAACGGGUGAGUAACACGUGGGUGAUCUGCCCUGCACUUCGGGAUAAGCCUGGGAAACUGGGUCUAAUACCGGGAUAGGACUCCUGGCUUCAUGGUUGGGGGUGUAAAGCUUUUGCGGUGUGGGAUGGGCCCGCGGCCUAUCAGCUUGUUGUGGGGUAAUGGGCCUACCAAGGCGACGACGGGUAGCCGGCCUGAGAGGGUGACCGGCCACACUGGGACUGAGAUACGGCCCAGACUCCUACGGGAGGCAGCAGUGGGGAAUAUUGCACAAUGGCGCAAGCCUGAUGCAGCGACGCCGCGUGAGGGAUGACGGCCUUCGGGUUGUAAACCUCUUUCAAUAGGGACGAAGCGCAAGUGACGGUACCUAUAGAAGAAGGACCGGCCAACUACGUG